rnacentral:sRNA from 1 species
GCCCCUCUCUAUGACCCUGAGGCCAAGCAGUUGAGGCCCGCGUGCGCCCAGGCACUGACGCGCAUCUUCAGGCUCUCAGAUCAGGACCUGGACCAGGCGCUCAGUGACGAAGAGCUCAACGCUUUCCAGAAAUCCUGCUUUGGGCACCCCCUGGCCCCACAGGCCCUGGAGGACGUGAAGACGGUGGUGUGCAGGAACGUGGCGGGCGGCGUGUGGGAGGACCGACUGACCCUGGAUGGUGAGGCUGGGUGCCCGCCUGUGCCUGGGGAGUGUGGGGAGGGGGCUGUGCCUGGUGCUCCCCCUGCUCUGUCUCGGUGCAGGUUUCCUCUUCCUGAACACGCUCUUCAUCCAGCGCGGGCGGCACGAGACCACGUGGACCAUCCUGCGGCGCUUCGGCUACAGCGAUGCACUGGAGCUGACAGCCGACUAUCUCUUCCCUCCGUGAGUGAAGUUGAGGGUUGAGGCCUACCCUCCCUG